UAUAUACAAAUACAAUAAAUAUACAUAAAAAGAUUAACACUAAAAUCUUGUUUCUUAUCUUCAAGAAUAAAAUCCAUCGAUUUUUUAAUUUAUUAUCUAAAUUCCUAUUAAUUCUUAAUUCUAUCUUUCUUAUUCUAUUAUUUUUUAUUUUGAGUUAUUAUUUAGAUUUUAUUUACGAAUGACAUUAGUCCAUAAAUGUUAGCAUUCUACUCGUUUUCGUUUCAUUUCAGCAGGGUGAACGAUUAAUUUCGAACAGUUCAUUCACGACGAGGAACACUUUGGGUAUUACGCAGCGGCUUUGAAUGAAACUUCCCAACUAGGUCGAGGCUCAAUUUCAGGCAGCGUUAUCUCAAGGCCUUGUUAUCUAAGAUGAAGGAAAAAUUAUUUUGCGUGACGAGCUCAGGAAUUAAUCAUUUAAAGAGAAGUGAAUUAUGCAAAUGUAUACAUAUAGAUAAUUGCUCAUGAAUUUAUUUAAUGUUCACAACAUAUCAAUUCUUGAGACAAUUCUUGACUUUUUUUAAAUUUUUUUUAAUUUUCUAUAUCUUCAAUAAUGAUUUUUUAUAAAUUUAAAUUUUCCUUGUUUGUUUCAUACAUAACCUAUUGACGAUCUUCAACUUCCAUCUAGAAUUACAUACAAAAAUAUUCUUUUCUUUAAAAUAUAUACAACAAUUUCUCUAAUUCAGAAUAUCAGAUUGAUUAUAGCCUACUAUUAUAAUAAUCACUUUAUUUUUCGACUAAAUUGAGUAAUUUUAUCGAAAUCUGCUUUAUUGCUGAAAGUAAACUUCAAGGUGAUAUAGACAUAUAUUGCGUGCAGAAAGUCCGUUGACGCAUUGCAGAAGAACAAAAUUGUCGAGAGGUCAGCAAAAUGAGCGAAAAGAGGUAGAGUAUAAAAAAGAAAUGAAAAAAAGAAGAAGGAAAGAAAAAAAGAGAAAAUGGUGGCGCAUUUGAACCGACGGAGAAACAACAUUCGUCCCUGCCCGGCCGGUAAAUCAAUUUCGUCGAAGGACAAUCCAAGAGUCCGAGAAUUGCAGCGGGGUCAACGAGCCGCGUAGCGACCGCAUUAAUUAAGUAAACGCUGCUCCUAUUGCCGACCUCUUUUAACGGCUAAUCGCUUUCGACGCUCACGCGAUUACGUUCGCUACUCUUCUAUCAUUUUCAGGCUGGAAUACUAUUUAGAAAUCCUAACUUAAUCAUCUAUGCAUCUAACCAAUCGAACAAUUAAAUAACAUACAUCACGACACCCAAACUAUUAUCUAUAGCUCAGAAUAAUAGAAAUAAAAUUUUUAUCAAACAAAGGUAUAUUUCUAGUAUGCUUUUCCAAGGAUUGAAACAAGAAUUUAACAAAGAUAUAUUUUUCGAAUUAAAUUUCGUUUCGAUAUUAAAUCUUUAUUUUACAUUUAUCGUAUGUUAUCAAAUGUUAAUCGAAAUGUUGUUCGUUAUAGAUAUAUCAAUCAACUAUUGACGCACAACGGGACAUCUAUCAAGAUUGCUUUAACAAGAUAUUACCAUUGAUGGAGUUCUUUUCUAUUGAAGAGUGAAAUUACAUAAAUUAAAUUUUCUAUAAAGAUGUGAUAGGAAAAAAUUCACGUGUGAUCGCUUCGAACAACGUAUUACGCCAGGGACAUAGCCUGCACGCAGUGUGGUCUCUUAUAUAAGUCAGAACAAAGGUUAGACAAAGAGGUUGCAUACAGAA